CAGUGGCGAACGGGUGAGUAACACGUGGGCAAUCUGCCCUGCACUCUGGGACAACACCGGGAAACCGGUGCUAAUACCGGAUAUGACGCACUCCUGCAUGGGGGUGCGUGGAAAGCUCCGGCGGUGCAGGAUGAGCCCGCGGCCUAUCAGCUUGUUGGUGGGGUGAUGGCCUACCAAGGCGACGACGGGUAGCCGGCCUGAGAGGGCGACCGGCCACACUGGGACUGAGACACGGCCCAGACUCCUACGGGAGGCAGCAGUGGGGAAUAUUGCACAAUGGGCGAAAGCCUGAUGCAGCGACGCCGCGUGAGGGAUGACGGCCUUCGGGUUGUAAACCUCUUUCAGCAGGGAAGAAGCGCAAGUGACGGUACCUGCAGAAGAAGCACCGGCUAACUACGUGCCAGCAGCCGCGGUAAUACGUAGGGUGCGAGCGUUGUCCGGAAUUAUUGGGCGUAAAGAGCUCGUAGGCGGCCUGUCGCGUCGGAUGUGAAAGCCCGGGGCUUAACCCCGGGUCUGCAUUCGAUACGGGCAGGCUAGAGUUCGGUAGGGGAGAUCGGAAUUCCU
rnacentral:rRNA from 1 species